rnacentral:sRNA from 1 species
UUACAGAAGAAGGAGGUCUCUUGGCUACAUUUAAAGGCAAAAUGGAGGAGCAAAUAAUCUUAAAUGAACUUUACCGUGGGUUUUCAGAAAGUCCUAAAGUAAUUUGGAUUGGCUUAGACAGACUGGAAGAUCACAAAACAUAUAAAUGGAUAGACAAUGGAGUAAUUCAUGAGAAUAUAUCAAAGAAUAUGAUAUUUCCUGAUGACCAUGAGUGCACAGGUUAUAAUCCCAAUUCGCAGUUCGUAACUCCAAUGCCUUGCUUCCUAUUAAAUAACUUUUUUUGUGAAUUGCGUUAGGUGUUUGUGAAAAAAAAAAUAUCAACCUGAAAUGUUUUCGUACGCUUUUAUGCUAUAACUUUAAAAUCAAUAAAUACCUUUACCAGAACUAAUGGUGCUGAUCCUUA